GCUUUAACUACAUGAUGAAAAGGUAGCAAGGUAACACCUCUUACUAGAGUAAAAGGUAUUGCUAGAAAAACUAAUAAAUUCUUAGGUAGCCAAGUCCUUCCUUAAGUCUGAAACAGGUAGAAGCUUUCAAGCUAAUUUGAGGCUGGGAAAAAGAGAUCUGAGUUUCAUUCAACCGUGCUAAUUGAGGGGAUAAUUUAAGAGGAAAGGUGUGCCUUUCCCCUGCUUAGGAGGGAGAAAGGUAUAUUUAGGUCUCAGUGUGUUUGACAUGAGGAAGAGCUGAAGUUUCUGAAGAGAGUGCUGCUUUUCCCCCAUCUUGUCUUUGUAAAAUGGUUACUCAUUGCUAAAUGAGGGGGUAAGGUUUCUAAACCAUGCCAACACUAAAGCAUAGUUGCGGGUGCUAUUUCAAAUAUGAAUUGAGGGAAAGUUUUAGGGUUUUUUCCUAUUGAGCCAAUUAUUGUUCUUCAAGCAACUGCUGAACAUCUGGUAAAGGGGCUAGAGGGCAAUGUGAAAUGAAAAAUGUCACCUAAGGUGAGCUUUGCUUCGAGAAGCGAUAAUGCUGGUUACUUAGGGAGUUCUGCUCUUUUGGCAGGAAUAGCUGGAGCUCGGAUGUCAUGAUAGACUGGCUGUCAAUGGAUUUUCAUGGCGAAGGCAGACCAGUACAGGGUACUGUGGAAAGUCGCCCUAAAGGAGCAAGAAAUGGACUCCAGGCAAUGUGGCCUGUAUUCAGAGAAGAGCCCAAACAGCAGCACAAGUGCUGCUGGGAUAUUUCCACUGACAAUAAUGCUUUUCCCCAGAGGAGACAAUCUACCGGAAAUGCACAAGAUCUUUCUGUACCUGCUCAUUAAGGAUGAAGGGAGUGCCUUGGUGGCAGUGGCAAAUGUCUUAUAG
ensembl:lncRNA